ensembl:lncRNA
CUGAGUCUUACUGGGUUAGGUGUUUGACUAGCCCAGGUGAGCGUUGGUAGGCAGCAGGGUGUUGAGUAAUCUGACUGCUUCAGGGAAGAAACUGUUGCAGAGUCUGCUGGUGGUAGCAUGGAUGUUCUGUUCCUGUACCUUCUGCUAGAUGGCAGGAGGGUGAAUAGUCCAUGAGAGGGGUGAGAGGGGUCGUCCACAAUACUGGUGGCUAUGUGGAGGCAGCGGUUGUUGAAGGAGGUGCCAAUGGUGUGUAGAGAGACCCUGAUGAUCUUUCCAGCUGUCCUCACAAUUUGCUGUAGGGUCUUGCGGUCGGAGGCUGUGCGGUUCCCGUACCACAUGGUGAGACAGCUGGUUAGAACGCUCUCUAUCAUCUCUCUGUAGAAGGAGUUGAGGAUGGGAGGGGGAAGUUUGACUCUCUCCAGUUAUUCCAUUGCAGUUGUUCUCAUGCUAAUCUUGCAUGAGUGGUGGACAAUAUACUGUACUUUCCUGACUUUUCCAAGCUGCCCCAGAAAUAUUUUGUAUGCCUUUUGGUAGGAAGCAUAAACCAGAAGGCAACAUGCUUUCUUGGACUCCAAGCUAUGAAUGACUGUGGCAUCAUUUGGAGUUGAACUCCAGUCUACUGAUGAUGUAGACUGAUGAUGCAGAUGAGGUAAAAACUUAGACCACUGUGCAACCAUGGUGGCACAGUUUGUUGUUAUUUUAACAAUGUAUCAUCCUUGUAAAUUCCUAAUAAAUUGUGGGCUUGGAAGGCUGGUGUUUCCAGCUCAGAUGUUUCUCCUGAAAGGCCUUAAUGCAUGUGAGACUGAUGAACCAUGAUGGACAUCUGGGAAGACCAGUGGCCUCAAUUAUACAACAUGUGACAACCACCAAUUAGCACAGAAAAACACAAGACUUAUCCAAGCAUUUGUAAUGAAUCUACCCGUCUAGAUCACUAAUGGUAACCUGGCAUGAAUGGGGACAGAUAUAUGCUGAAAAGACACUGGGGCUGUCCUCUAUUUCUGUAAGCUUGUCUAAAUGGAGCACCUGAUAAUGCAUGCAGCAAGAUGACCUGUGUUAAAUUAGCACACUUAUUGUUGUUUUGGCUUACACUCUAGACUGUGUGGGCUAGAUCCUCCAGUCGUUUUACAGCAGGUGGUAAUUUAACAUUGGACAUUGAACUGCACUUGGAAUAGUCACAUUUCACUUUUCACACACAGUAAACUGAAGAUGACUUUUAUUCUUUUUAUUUCCGUUUGGCAUAGAUGUUAUGUUCCUAUAUAAGCGACCAAGCUUGUGAUGGCUCUUUGUUUGUUUAGCCCUCAGGCGAAAGAUGGUGGGAAAAGAAAUCCAGCAAAUCAGGACACAAAGGCAGGAAUUCUACACAUGUGGCAAUAUACACAAACAUUGCAGAAAUUCAGAUUGUGUCAACCUUGAGCAUUGUGGAUGACUUCCACACACAUUUGUCAUACCAGCACAUUGUUUUGAUGUGCACUUUGAUGAUGAACUUCAGGGCAGGAUGAAUGUGAAAUGCAGGGAGGUGAAAUAUUAGGCUUAUCCUGUCAACACAGUGGCACACCAGGGAAGUUGUCACGGGCCGAGGCCAGAUGAGAUUCCUGGGAACAAUUAGUGGUGUAUGGUCAUGUAGAAUAAAAAAA